rnacentral:rRNA from 1 species
AUUGAACGCUGGCGACAUGCCUUACACAUGCAAGUCGAACGGCAGCACGGGUGCUUGCACCUGGUGGCGAGUGGCGAACGGGUGAGUAAUGCAUCGGAACAUGUCCUGUAGUGGGGGAUAGCCCGGCGAAAGCCGGAUUAAUACCGCAUACGAUCUACGGAUGAAAGCGGGGGACCUUCGGGCCUCGCGCUAUAGGGUUGGCCGAUGGCUGAUUAGCUAGUUGGUGGGGUAAAGGCCUACCAAGGCGACGAUCAGUAGCUGGUCUGAGAGGACGACCAGUCACACUGGGACUGAGACACGGCCCAGACUCCUACGGGAGGCAGCAGUGGGGAAUUUUGGACAAUGGGCGAAAGCCUGGUCCAGCAAUGCCGCGUGUGUGAAGAAGGCCUUCGGGUUGUAAAGCACUUUUGUCCGGAAAGAAAUCCUUGGCCCUAAUACGGUCGGGGGAUGACGGUACCGGAAGAAUAAGCACCGGCUAACUACGUG